GAUGAACGCUAGCGACAGGCGUAACACAUGCAAGUCGAGGGGCAGCAUAAAGGAAGCCAUACUAUGCUGGCGACGGGCGCACGGGUGAGUAAUACGUAUGCAACCUAUCUGUGAGAGGGCAAUAACCCGGAGACUUACGGACUAAUCCCGCCCACUGACAACGAGCUGCAUGGCGUUGUGCUGCAACAUUUAUGGCUUACAGAUGGGCUUGCGUAGGAUUUGAUAGUUGGUAGGGUAACGGCCCACCAAGGCAACGAUCAUUAGGGGUUCUGAGAGGAAGGUCCCCCAAACUGGUACUGAGACACGGACCAGACUCCUACGGGAGGCAGCAGUGAGGAAUAUUGGUCAAUGGGCGAGAGCCUGAACCAGCCAAGUCGCGUGAAGGAAGAAGGUUCUAUGGAUUGUAAACUUCUUUUGUAAGGGAAUAAAAAGAGUUACGUGUAACUUAUUGUAUGUACUUUACGAAUAAGGAUCGGCUAACUCCGUGCCAGCAGCCGCCGUAAUAC
rnacentral:rRNA from 1 species